rnacentral:lncRNA from 1 species
UUUACGGGUAUUGGAUCUUUGUGACACAUCAGUCGAGAGAAUUCCAAAUUGUAUCGGAGAUCUAUUGCACCUAAGAUACCUAGAUCUUGAUAGAACAAAGAUUCAUGAGAUACCGAAAUCAAUAGGGCGCCUUGUAAACCUUCAAACUUUGAAUAUCUCAUGAUGUAAACACUUGUAGAUCUAGUCAACAAAAGAUUUCUAGUUUCAGUGUGUUGGUAUGAAAGAAUAGUCAAUAAAUCUGCUUACACAAACAUGCCGCCCUAAGUAUUCCUUAUGCGUUAUAUAUUCUAAUCAAGCCAAGUAUGGUCAAAAAAUUUAUGUGUUUGUAAUGCAUCCUAAUCAAACAAAUAAUUAAUUACCUCAGGUAGGCGUGCACGUUGAAAAGAGCCAUGAUUAAUUGGUUUAUAAUAUUUUGAUGAUAUCAUGCCAUGAUAAACUUAUAUAAGAUUACCCUUCAUUAAGUAUUGCAAAUUUUGUAUAAUUAAUAUAACUAAUAAAAUAAUCGUAUAGUAUUUUCUGAAAAUACAUGUUGCAUAAAUUUCAUGCAUUUUAUUGACUAAUAAAAUUUAUUAUUUUGGCUGUCAUCCAUAAGGUAAAGCAAAAUAUUAUAAACAUGAUGUUAGAUCUAUUAUAAUAGCUAUUUAAGUAUAGCAACAUGGCAUGGCAUGAUUGCAGAGAAGAGGUGGAAGGGAUAGAGUUGACGAAUUCAUUGACUCAAACUGAUUCGUUAAAUUGGUUAACUAAUUAGAACCAGUUUAAUGAACAAGUUCAAAAAUUAAAAAAAUAAUUAGAAUAGGAAAAUACAAUUGAUAUUUAUAAAAAAAUACAUCGGAUAAUUUUUCAAUAGAAAACCACCUUCCGAUAAACAUCAAUUAGUAAUGACUUUUCUUGAUAAAAUAUUUUUGUAAAAUAUCACUCUUGUUAAAAUAUCACUUUUGUAAAAGCGAAUAAAUCAUGCUUAUGAUUCCUGUGAGUGAAAGUCAAUUAUUCUUGAAAAAAGCUCAUUAAUUAUUUUCUAUACUUCAUAUCCUAAUCUCCCUAAGAAAUCAAGAUUAAGUUUAUGAAUAUCCAAAAAAAUCCAAUCUUGAUCAGGACUCAGGACAAGCUUUUCACAAUAUACCUCAAGGCAUUGUUUUAUUAUUAUUAUUAUUAUUAUUAUUAUUAUUAUUAUUAUUAUUAUUAUUAUUAUUAUUAAGUCAACCGUAAGCUGCCGACAUCUCGCCAUGUGACUCUGCCGUCUUCUCCGCGGAGCUACUCGUCUUAUUUGUCUCAGAUCUCGGAAGAAUAAGAAAGUAGAUGAUAAGAUAAUCUGAUUUCUGACAGCUACUGCAUGGAUCACCUUAGGAAAUAAUUACAUGUUAGUGUGCUCGAGGAACCACCUCUUGGGGCAUCGAGUCUUCUUCCCGAGAGUGCCGAGGCCUUUUCCCUGUUCGUCCUGGAGAGAUGGCAAUGAUUCUGGAUACUUUCGUUUCGAGAUACGUCAACGAUGUGGCCGCUUUCGUGGAGGGAGAGAUAUGCAAAGUGCUGGGCGUGAAGAAGGAGAUCAAGGCGCUGCAGGAGACGCUGGAGACGAUCAGAUGUUUCCUCCAGGAUGCCGAGAAGAAGAGCCGCAGCGGGGAUCCCGUCAUGGAGCUCUGGGUGAGGAAGCUGAAGGAAGUCAUGUACGACGCCGACGACGUCAUCGAUCUGUGCGUGAUGGAAGGGGGAAAGCCCUUGGAGGUUCGGGCGUCGGCAUCAGCCUCAGGGGUGGUAAGCCUUCCUUUCAGCUUCGUCUCUUCCUGCUUUCGGUGUACCAAAUACCGCCAUGAGAUCGCAGGCCAAAUCGAAGCAAUCAAUGAUGGGCUGAAACGAAUAGCGGCAGAUAACUCCAUCCUUGGAAAUCUACAGCCCGCAAGCCAACAACUCCACCCUAAAAAACCACCUCCACCACGUGAGACGUCUCCCUUGGAAGUUGAGGAGGACAUUGUGGGGGAACAAAUCGAAGAAGCUGCCGACGAUCUAAUCAAUCGCAUGUUGGAGAACACCGAACAAAAGUGUCGUGUUUUUGGGAUUGUUGGAAUGGGUGGAAUCGGGAAAACUACUCUGGCAAGUAAAAUAUAUAAUGAUGGAAGGAUCAAAGAAAACUUUCCUAUCCAAAAGUGGUUGUAUAUCUCAAAGGAUUAUACGGAGAUCAAGUUUCUCAGAGAGUUAAUUCGGUGUGCAGGAGAUGAAACCAAAGCAGGAUCUUUUGAGGGAGAAAGCAGAGCAGAAUUGGAACUCAAACUUGCUUCGCUCCUCACUGAAAAUUUAUUUCUCGUGUUGGACGACGUGUGGAGUCCAAAUGUAUGGACUGAUUUCCUGAGGAAACCACUAAGUAAAGGAGAAGGUAGCCGCACGAUCUUAGUUACCACUCGAAUCGAAACAGUGUUAAGUGGUAUGAAAGCCAGCUAUAUGCACCAUGCUGAGAAAAUGGAUGAUAACAGCGGGUGGAUGUUGCUUGGGAAGACGGUAUUCGAAGCUGGGGAGGAGGAUGACAUGCGUCGGUUGGAGGAAGUAGGUAGGAAAAUUGUUAGAAAAUGUGACGGACUUCCUCUUGCUAUCAAAGCUAUUGCAGGGGUUUUAAUUUCCAAGGACAGAAGCACAGCGGAGUGGGAACAGGUCCUCGAGAAUGACGCAUGGAGUACGAACCGGCAGAUCGACGAAGAAGUUCCAAGAGCUUUGCACUUGAGCUAUGAGGAUCUACCAUCUCAUCUGAAACAAUGCUUUCUUUAUUGCUCUUUCUUCGUGUGGGAGUUUUUUCAUUACAAUGAUAUUAUUCGGUUUUGGGUAGCAGAAGGCCUUAUCGUAGAAGCAGGAGGUAGGCUGAUGGAAGAUGUAGCCGAGGAGUACUAUUGGGAACUAGUUUCGAGGAAUCUUCUACAAGUGGAUCCAUCAUAUAUAAACAGGAGCAUGUUUUGUAUCCAUGAUCAUUUACGAGCGCUCGCUACAUACUUGAUGAAAGAAGAAGGAUUUUCGAUUACAGUUGGUCAAAGAUUAGAUAUAAAAGCUAACAUGAAGAUUCGUAGGUUGUCGAUAUCUAAUAUGGGAAUAAAACUAGUAUUGCCGGAUCACAUCAUAGAAGAGAAAUGUUUGAGAACUUUAAUGAUCAGAGACUCCCUCUCAUCCAAAAUAAUUGAGGAUAAUUUACUUAAAGGGUUAUCAAAUUUACGGGUAUUGGAUCUUUGUGACACAUCAGUCGAGAGAAUUCCAAAUUGUAUCGGAGAUCUAUUGCACCUAAGAUACCUAGAUCUUGAUAGAACAAAGAUUCAUGAGAUACCGGAAUCAAUAGGGUGCCUUGUCAACCUUCAAACUUUGAAUAUCUCAGGAUGUAAACACUUGUACAAGCUUCCCAUGACCAUCACGAGGCUAUACAAUCUAAGGAGUCUCCGUGUU